rnacentral:rRNA from 1 species
GACGAACGCUGGCGGCGUGCUUAACACAUGCAAGUCGAACGGAAAGGCCUUUUCGGAGGUACUCGAGUGGCGAACGGGUGAGUAACACGUGGGUGAUCUGCCCUGCACUCUGGGAUAAGCCUGGGAAACUGGGUCUAAUACCGGAUAGGACCGCACUUUAGUGUGUGUGGUGGAAAGUUUUUUCGGUGUAGGGUGAGCCCGCGGCCUAUCAGCUUGUUGGUGGGGUAAUGGUCUACCAAGGCGGCGACGGGUAGGCGGACUGAGGGGGUGGUCGGCCACAUUGGGUCUGAGGUACGGCCCCAGCACCGACGGGAGGCAGAAGUGGGGAAGAUUGCACCAUGGGCGCAAGCCUGGUGAAGCGACGCCGCGGGGCGGAAGACGGCCUUUGGGGUGGAAAAUCCAUUCGCCAGGGACGAAGCGUUUUGUGACGGUACCUGGAGAAGAAGCACCGGCUAACUACGUG